ACGGAGGGUGCAAGCGUUAUCCGGAAUCAUUGGGUUUAAAGGGUCCGCAGGCGGGACUGUAAGUCAGUGGUGAAAUCCGGCAGCUCAACUGUCGCACUGCCAUUGAUACUGCAGUCCUUGAAUUUGAUUGGAGUGGGCGGAAUAUGUCAUGUAGCGGUGAAAUGCUUAGAUAUGACAUAGAACACCGAUAGCGAAGGCAGCUCACUAAGUCUGAAUUGACGCUCAUGGACGAAAGCGCGGGUAGCAAACAGG
rnacentral:rRNA from 1 species